rnacentral:rRNA from 1 species
AUUGAACGCUGGCGGCAGGCCUAACACAUGCAAGUCGAGCGAGCGGCGGACGGGUGAGUAAUGUAUGGGGACUGCCCGAUAGAGGGGGACAACUACUGGAAACGGUGGCUAAUACCGCAUACUAUCGGAUAACCCAUAUGGGAUUAGCUAGUGGGUGGGGUAAAGGCUCACCUAGGCGACGAUCUUUAGCUGGUCUGAGAGGAUGCUCAGCCACACGGGGACUGCGACACGGCCCAGGCUAGUACGGAGGCAGCAUUGGGGGAUAUUGCACAAUGGGCGAAAGCCUGAUGCAGCGUGUCUGCGUGGGGGAUGAAGGCUUUCGGGUUGUAACCGUCAGUCGCUAUCGAACGGGUAGGUGCAGAAGAAGCACCGGCUAACUACGUGCCAGCAGCCGCGGUAAUUC